AGCAAGUGCGGUGCUAUACAUGCAAGUCGAGCGGGGAGCCUUGAGACGGAGGCUUCGGCCAAAGUCUUAAGGAUCCUAGCGGCGAACGGGUGAGUAACGCGUGGGCAACCUGCCCUAUCGCCCGGGAUAACCCUCGGAAACGAGGGCUAAUACCGGAUGCGGUCACCGGCUCGCAUGAGCGGGUGACGAAAGGGCCAUGGGUCCGCGAUAGGAUGGGCCCGCGUCCCAUUAGCUAGUUGGUGGGGUAACGGCCCACCAAGGCGACGAUGGGUAGCCGGCCUGAGAGGGUGGACGGCCACACUGGCACUGAGACACGGGCCAGACUCCUACGGGAGGCAGCAGUAGGGAAUCUUGCGCAAUGGGCGAAAGCCUGACGCAGCGACGCCGCGUGGGGGAUGAAGGUCUUCGGAUCGUAAACCCCUGUCUUUGGGGACGAAGCAUGACGGUACCCAAGGAGGAAGCCCCGGCUAACUACGUGCCAGCAGCCGCGGUAAAACGUAGGGGGCGAGCGUUGUCCGGAAUUACUGGGCGUAAAGGGUGCGUAGGCGGCCGCUUAAGUCCUGUGUGAAAGGCCCCGGCUUAACCGGGGAGGGUCAUGGGAAACUGGGCGGCUUGAGUGCCGGAGAGGGUGGCGGAAUUCCCGGUGUAGCGGUGAAAUGCGUAGAGAUCGGGAGGAACACCAGUGGCGAAGGCGGCCACCUGGACGGCAACUGACGCUGAGGCACGACAGCUGGGGGAGCAAACAGGAUUAGAUACCCUGGUAGUCCCAGCCGUAAACGAUGAGUGCUAGGUGUUGCGGG
rnacentral:rRNA from 1 species